CUAUCCUGACUCGAGUAGGUAAUGACAAGAAAUAUCAUUAUAAUACUUUAAUGUCUUGUCUUUGGGAUGAGAUAAACAUAACCCGCUUCUCUACUAUCAUUUGAAGUGCAAGUCUGGUGUCAGGACCCGCGCCAAUUCCAGUUCCGAUACCGUAUAUUAUAUUUGUUGUGUUUAAAACGCUCGUAUUUGAAUAUCUGCUAUGGUAUUCCGGUCCUUCCCUUCGAAGAAUACACGAAACUCUUCUUGUCUUUUAUUCUAGUAAGGUGUUUGCACUUUGCUGUGUGGCGCAUGAUCUGAAUUUUUACUUUGAUUAGAUGAGAUUGUUUCGAGCCGGGUUUCGUCGCGACUAUGAUAUCAUGGAAUAAUAUCACAGGACCCCUUUCCUUAGCUGUUGUGUUUUGUAACGAGGUAAUCAAAAUAAAGAUAGGUGGGGUGAUUCGAAUUUAACUGUCAUAGGUGAAAUUCUUGUAUUUUUUAUAGACGAGAUAUUGUAAAGGCAUCUGCCCAGGAUGUUAUUAUUGAUCUGGAACGAAAGUUAGGGGAUCGAAGACGAUCAGAUACCGUCCUAGUCUUAACCUUAAACUAUGCCGGCUGGAGAUUGGAGUUGUCAGAAUUGUGACAUCUUCAGCAUCCUGAGAGAAAUCGAAGUCUUUGGGUUCCGGGGGGAGUAUGGUCGCAAGGCUGAAACUUAAAGGAAUUGACGGAAGGGCACCACCAGGAGUGGAGCCUGCGGCUUAAUUUGACUCAACACGGGGAAACUCACCAGGUCCAGACAUAGAUAGGAUUGACAGACUGAUAGCUCUUUCUUAAUUCUAUGGGUGGUGGUGCAUGGCCGUUCUUAGUUGGUGGAGUGAUUUGUCUGGUUAAUUCCGUUAACGAACGAGACCUUAACCUGCUAAAUAGUUUCCAGAACUUCGGUUCUCGGGUUACUUCUUAGAGGGACUCUGUGUGUUUAACACAAGGAAGUUUGAGGCAAUAACAGGUCUGUGAUGCCCUUAGAUGUCCUGGGCUGCACGCGCGCUACACUGAUGUGUUCAAUAAGCACCUAACCUACUCCGAAGGGACUGGGUAACCUUUGCAAAGCACAUCGUGAUGGGGAUAGAUUAUUGCAAUUAUUAGUCUUGAACGAGGAAUUCCUAGUAAGCGCAAGUCAUCAGCUUGUGUUGAUUACGUCCCUGCCCUUUGUACACACCGCCCGCCGCUCCUACCGAUUGAGUGAUCCGGUGAAUACUUCGGAGUGCAGACUCUACAGUUUCUGUUUUGUUUGCGCAAAGUUGAAUAAACCUUAUCACUUAGAGGAAGGAGAAGUCGUAACAAGG
rnacentral:rRNA from 1 species